CCUACGGGUGGCAGCAGUGGGGAAUAUUGGACAAUGGGGGAAACCCUGAUCCAGCGACGCCGCGUGAGUGAAGAAGUAUUUCGGUACGUAAAGCUCUAUCAGCAGGAAAGAAAAUGACGGUACCUGACUAAGAAGCCCCGGCUAACUACGUGCCAGCAGCCGCGGUAAUACGUAGGGGGCAAGCGUUAUCCGGAUUUACUGGGUGUAAAGGGAGCGUAGACGGCAGCGCAAGUCUGGAGUGAAAUGCCGGGGCUCAACCCCGGAACUGCUCUGGAAACUGUGAAGCUGGAGUGCAGGAGGGGUAAGCGGAAUGCCUGGUGUAGCGGUGAAAUGCGUAGAGAUCAGGAGGAACACCGGCGGCGAAGGCGGCUUACUGGACUGUAACUGACGUUGAGGCUCGAAGGCGUGGGGAGCAAACAGGAUUAGAUACCCGAGUAGUC
rnacentral:rRNA from 1 species